AGGAAAGCAUUGGAAGAGAGGAUAACUGUAGUCAAGGAAAGUCAAAGAGUGCUAUAAAUGAGGUAGGAAUUCAAGAGGCCAGAUGAAGAGCAGUCAGUAGGGCUGGCACGGACAGUCUGAAAAUCCUUCUCUUGAGUAACCAAACACACAGCUAUCGUUUAUUUGAGCAACAGUGAAGUCUAUGCUGCAAGUGAACCUGGGUAACCCGAGGCACAGGGCCAAACAUCUGGUAACAAUAAGAUCAACACAACGGUAGAAGAAGAUCAAGAAUCCUGUAACCAUAAGAACCUCGGGCAGUCUUCAGUACUGAUGCGUGCCAAGAUAUAUUUGGGCAAGAGAAUAUGGAUGGAAUGUUCAUCUCUUCACCAGAGGGUGACAUGAAUGCCAGUGAGUCAGGUUUUGUCAGAAGACAGUAUCGAGUUGCAAAUAAGAAGAUUAUCUGCAGAGUAUCUUGUACCUUGAAGUUACUUGGAGGUGAGUCUAAAUUUUGUAUGGUGACACAUGAACCAUAAGCAAGAGAUCAUAUUCAGAAUAGUUCCUUUGGGAGACUGAAGGUUUAUUCUAAUAAUACUGUGAUUGCUCAACAUCUCUUAGGAACUUCCUUUAAAAACUUUGAAAAAUAAUUCUCUUUGUAGGUGAAUA